rnacentral:rRNA from 1 species
AGAGUUUGAUCCUGGCUCAGGAUGAACGCUAGCGGCAGGCUUAACACAUGCAAGUCGAGGGGCAGCAUAAUGGAUAGCAAUAUCUAUGGUGGCGACCGGCGCACGGGUGCGUAACGCGUAUGCAACCUACCUUUAACAGGGGGAUAACACUGAGAAAUUGGUACUAAUACCCCAUAAUAUCAUAGAAGGCAUCUUUUAUGGUUGAAAAUUCCGAUGGUUAGAGAUGGGCAUGCGUUGUAUUAGCUAGUUGGUGGGGUAACGGCUCACCAAGGCGACGAUACAUAGGGGGACUGAGAGGUUAACCCCCCACAUUGGUACUGAGACACGGACCAAACUCCUACGGGAGGCAGCAGUGAGGAAUAUUGGUCAAUGGACGCAAGUCUGAACCAGCCAUGCCGCGUGCAGGAUGACGGCUCUAUGAGUUGUAAACUGCUUUUGUACGAGGGUAAACGCAGAUACGUGUAUCUGUCUGAAAGUAUCGUACGAAUAAGGAUCGGCUAACUCCGUGCCAGCAGCCGCGGUAAUACGGAGGAUCCGAGCGUUAUCCGGAUUUAUUGGGUUUAAAGGGUGCGUAGGCGGUUUGAUAAGUUAGAGGUGAAAUUUCGGGGCUCAACCCUGAACGUGCCUCUAAUACUGUUGAGCUAGAGAGUAGUUGCGGUAGGCGGAAUGUAUGGUGUAGCGGUGAAAUGCUUAGAGAUCAUACAGAACACCGAUUGCGAAGGCAGCUUACCAAACUAUAUCUGACGUUGAGGCACGAAAGCGUGGGGAGCAAACAGGAUUAGAUACCCUGGUAGUCCACGCAGUAAACGAUGAUAACUCGUUGUCGGCGAUACACAGUCGGUGACUAAGCGAAAGCGAUAAGUUAUCCACCUGGGGAGUACGUUCGCAAGAAUGAAACUCAAAGGAAUUGACGGGGGCCCGCACAAGCGGAGGAACAUGUG